GACUAGGAGAAUGUUUGAGCUCUUAGCUAACUUCACUUGCUAUCUGUAAACUGAGACGUGCUAGAACGAUUAACUAGCGCGCGCAUGAUUGUUUACUGAAUUUGUCGUCACCCAGGCAUUGACUUCUGCAUUGUUCCCUGAAACCUGCAGAUGACGAGCGUCAAACAUUAGGUGAACCCUGGAAACCUUCUGUUACAAAGCCAACAGAGGUGGGCAUGCAGUCCAAGAACAAUAAGCUCGCUAAUGUCGUGAGCCUGCUUCAGAAGCUCCAGCAGCUUAGCGUGAGCAAGGAUGAGGACGCACCUCCGGUCGACCAUAUGGCUUUCCUGUGCGAGACAGAAAGCCCGGACCACCGUUACGUGUCUGAGAUACUGCUGGCCUCGGGUCUUCUGAUGAAAGAGCUAGGUUCAGGACAGGCAGGCCUCCAGCUCCAGCUCCACUCCUCUG
rnacentral:lncRNA from 1 species